GUAGUCUCGCACAGAUGCAUAUCAAUAAGCGGAGGAAAAGAAACUAACAAGGAUUCCCCUAGUAACGGCGAGUGAAGCGGGAAGAGCUCAAAUUUGAAAUCUUAAAGGGUUUCCCUUUACGAAUUGUAGUUUAAAGAAGUGUUUUCUGUUGAGGUUUUGGUAAAAGUUCUUUGGAAUAGGACAUCAUAGAGGGUGAGAAUCCCGUAUUUGACCUUUACUUUCAACUUUGUGAUACACUUUCAAAGAGUCGGAUUGUUUGGGAAUGCAGUCCAAAAUGGGUGGUAAAUUUCAUCUAAAGCUAAAUAUUGGCGAGAGACCGAUAGCGAACAAGUACCGUGAGGGAAAGAUGAAAAGAACUUUGAAAAGAGAGUUAAACAGUACGUGAAAUUGUCAAAAGGGAAGCGUUUGACACCAGUGUUGUUUUUCUGAAAUCAAUUAAAGAACUGUUUAUGCUAAGUUGUUUAGACUUUAUCAGCUAACUGUUUAGUUUUGAGCUUUUCUUUAAUGCACUUUUCAGUUAACAAGUCAACAUCAAUUUCUUUUGCUGUAAAAAAGCUUGAGGAAGGUGGCUUGAGAUUCGUCUUAAGUGUUUAUAGCCUCUUGCCUAUGCAGUCGGAGAGAUUGAGGUCUGCAGCGUAGAUCCUUCGGGGCUAAAUGCAUUUGUGCUAAGUUAUAGCAUUUCAUAGACAACUUGUUGACUAUGAUUUGUCUUGUAGCUUACUCGCUUAUGUUAUUUUACCUACGCUUAGGAUGUUGACAGCAGUAUAGACUGU
rnacentral:rRNA from 1 species